rnacentral:lncRNA from 1 species
UCAGAAAUCACUGAAUGUACUUAAAUGUAGUUAGGUAACACAAGCUUGGUUAGGAGCAGGGUAAACAUACUGCUUUUACAAAGAGACGAGCAGACAAGCAUGCCCUUCAUAUUUGGAAGCUGUUUAGGUACAUCUGGACUGCAAAGCAGAAGAUCAGAGAUCAGGACUGCAUGGAGUCAGAGUGGUGAACUGCUGUGUCCAUGGGAACAGUCACCUGCCGCAGAACCUAGCACAAGUGGAAAGUGCAGAGCAGAGGGAGCAGCAGCAAACUGCAGGGCAGCAAGCAGAAGCAGCUGGUGCUCCCUGCCCAGCAGCAGAGCAGACGGGCCUUUGGGAUCCUGUAAGCUCAUGACACAGCCUGGGCUAUGGCAGGCCAAACUGAUGCCUUACUGCCUCCUGCCCUAGACAAGACCACGUGUCAGAGACCUUGGUGACAAAUCAGCUUGCAGCAGAUGCUGAUGCAGACACUGAUGAACACUGCAGGA